rnacentral:lncRNA from 1 species
AACCGCCCGGGUGAAGUGCUCACCGAUAUCCAUGCGCUUGCGGAUCAAUUCCUUAUUGUGUUCCCAAAUAUCAACAAGCAUUUCUGGCGCCGUUGCCGGGGAGAAAGACGGUUGCUGAGAUAACCUGAGUCUUGCUAUUAGCUUGUAUCUAUACUUUUAUCUUUUCUUAUCUUUUAUAUUCUUUAUUUAUUUUCUUUAUUCUUACCUUAUGGAAAACCAAAAUUCUAAAUCGAUCCAUGAGUCUGCAAUCCCUUUAGCAACUGACCUUUUACCAUGGGAAUCAUCACAGCCUAUCCAAACAUCCCACUAUAAGUUAAGUUCUAGGUUGAUUGCCAUGAUUCAAAACCUAUCUUUUUUGGGAAAGGAAGACGAAAACCCUUACCUUCAUAUUAG